AUGAGGAUUGAGGAGGAGGGUCCGUCGACGAGAUCAAUCAUGGUCGAAAGGAAAACGGGCUCGGAGAUGAAUCCGCAAGCGCCUGGGCCUCGUCUCCCUACUCCGUCUCGGUUGCAUGACACAGGAGCUGAGCACGCGUCGACACGUUGGUGCACACGCGUCGCGGUCGCCUUUCCACGCGCAGCGGCCUCAGCCCAAAGCCCCGCCCAUCGUCACUCACCAGCAGCCACCGCCCGGGCCACCUCACCGCCCAUCCAAACCCCGCCGCCUCCCACAGCACUGCUCCGAGUCCGACUUCAGCCUCAUCCCGUGAGCAUGGUCCUCGACGAGGUCGAAUCCGCCGGCACCCACAGCCAGGACUACCUCCCCCACUCUGGCAGCCCCGGCCGGUCUACAGCAGCUGGCGGCGGCGGCCGCCGCGGCGCUAACGACAGCUGGGCCCGCGAGCUGCUCCGGCGCGGAUGGGACCUGACACGGACGGCCGCCAUGGCCGGCGCCGCGGCGACGGCCGCGCCGGUCGUGGCCCCGCCGCUGAUCGUCCUUUCCGCCGCCGGCGUCGCCCUGUCCGUCCCCUUCGCCGCCUACCUCGCCAGCCUCGCCGCCGCUAACCACCUCACGGGCGCGCUCCUCCGUUCCUGUCAACCGCCGCCGCAGCCAUGCCCCCAAGAAUACGACAACCUGGAGCAAGAAUUCCUCGACGCGUCGGAAGAGUACGGCCAAGAGGCUCCGGCGUUCGGCCAUCUGGAUACCGAAACAGAGCAGGACAUCGUCAAAGAGGAGGACGGGAGCGACACUUCGCUGCCCCUGUCACGGGAUCCCGACGUGCUUGCCGACGACGAGGUUGAAGGUGAAUUUUCUGCACCAUCAAAGCCACUGUUUCAGGAAGAUGAUACUCUGGUUCAGAAAAAAGGAGAAGAUGAAUUUUCUGUGCUGAAUUCAGACCAACAGUCAUUCCAAUCAAACAAUUUGAAGGAAAAAGAGGAUGGCGUGUAUUCUGAAAACAAUGAAGAGGAUGACAAAACUAUGGAGGAAAACAAGUGUGCAGAGGAGACGAUGUCGCAGGGCUUCUAUUUUCCUGAAUUGGGUGUACCAGCGUCCGGUGGUGAGGACGACAAUGUGGUCCGGGAAAAGGGAGAAGAUGGGUUUUCUGUACAGAAUUCAGGCCAGCAAGCAUUUCAAUUUCAGUCAAAGAAUUUUGGUGAAAUUGAAGAAGAGGAUAGGCAAACUAUGGAGGAAAAUAAGCCUACCAAGGAGACAGUGUCACAAGAGGCUCCGGCGUUCGGCUAUUUGGAUACUGAUGAAACAGAGCAGGCGAUCAUCAAAGAAGAUAAGGAGAGCGACACUUCGCCGCUGCUGCCACGGGAUACUGGUGUUUCCGAAUCAUCAGCGCCUGUGUUUGCGGACGACGAGGUGGAGGAGGUGCAAGGUGAAUUUUCUGCCCAAGAAUCUGGCCAUGAUUCAUACAUUUCAAACCGUGGCAACGAUACAGAGGAGCGCACACCAUUGGAAGGAAGGGAGUCUACUCAAAAGGAGACACUACCGAGGGGCUUUGGUGUUUCUGCAUCAGCAAAGCCACUGUUUCCAGAAGAGGAUAAUGUGGCUCAGGAAAAGGGAAACGACGAAGAAGCUGUACAAGUAUCAGGCGAGCAAUCAUUUCAAUCAAAGAAUUGGAAUGAAACAGAGGAUGUCAUGUAUUCUAAAGAAAAAGGUGAUGGCAAAACCAUGGAGGAAAACAAGUCUAUGAAGGAGACGGUGUCACAAGGCCUCUGUUUUCCAGAAUCGCGUGUGCCAACAUCAGGCGAAGACGAUGACAAUGUGGUCCACGAAAAGGGAGAAGGUAAAGUUGCUGCACAGGAUUCAGGCCAACAAUCAUUCCAGCCAAAGAAUUUGAAUGAAAAAGUAGAAGAGGAUGGCAAAACUACAGAGGAGAACAAGUCUACCAAGGAGACGCUGUUCUAUGAAUCGGCUGUGCCGGCGUCAGGUGAUGAAGACAAUGUGGUUCAGGAAAGGAGAGAAGGUGAAUUUUCUGUACAUAAUUCAGGCCAACUACCAUUUCAAGCAAAGAUUUGCAAUGAAAAAGAAGAGGAUAUCAGAACUACAGAGGAAAGCAAGUCUACCGAGGUGACGCAUUCGGAAGGCUCCUAUUUUCCCGAAUCGAGUGUGCCAGCAUCAGCUGAUGAAGACAAAAAGGGAGAAGAGGAAUUCUCCGUACACAAUUUAGGCCAGCAUUCGCUUUUAUCAGGCAUCGGAGAUAAAAAAGAGCAUGGCAUAGCAAUGGAGAAAAAAAUGUCUACCGAGGACAUGCCACCACGAGACACUGUUGGCUCUGAGUCACCAGCUCCAGUGUUCCAUGGUGAAGACAAUGUGGUUCAGAGCAAGGAAGGAUUUGAAGUUGCAGUGGAGGGAGUGUUGGAAGAAGCUAAUACUAAUACCGAUCUUGUUACGGCCGAAGUGGUUGAUUCUCAAGUGGAAAUUAUUGUAAUUGCCGCACCUGAGAGCGAGGUGCUGCCACCGAGUACUGAUCUUGUAAUGGCCGAAGUGGUUGAUGUGCAAGUGGAGAUUAGUGCAACUGCAGCACCAGAUAGUGAGGUCCUGUCACCGAGUAACCUUGUGGCUCCUGAGUUGCAUCCGGAUAUUGUUACAGGGGACGUUAAUGAUGUGUAUGUUGGCAUUGGUGCUGCUCUGGAACCUGAGAGUGAGGUGCUGCAUGAGAGUAACCUUGCGGCUUGUGCUUCAACGGCAGAUCUUGGUAUUGGGGAAAUUUCUGAUGUGCAAGUCAACAUUGUUGCUGCUGCGAAGCCUGAAGAUGAGGUGCUGCCACUGGGUAACCUCACAGAAUGUGAGUCACUGGUGGUUGUGGAAACUGCACAUGUUGGUGACAUUGUAGGAAUUGCUGCAACGAGAGACGAUGUAAGGGAUUUCGGUGGUCUAGACAAACAAGGCACGGAAUGCUGUUUUGUCCCAGUGGCGUCUAUGCAUGAUACUGAAGAUGUAAUAUCCAGUGGGAGCACACCGUAUUUCUCCACCAUUGGUGAAGAAAUCGUUGACCUGUCCGAUCAGUCAAGUGAUGUGGGUUACACAGUGAGGAAUGAAGCAUUUAGGAGCAGAGUUGUUGCUGAGAGCGAGGCUCGCUACACCGAAGAACAGUUGAGGGAACAGCUCGACACGAUAAGAACAAUAACCGGGUACAGUGAUGUGCCUUCUUCGACACUGGAGGGCGAACUGGCAGGACUUUACAUAUUCGUGGGGGUGGAGCCCCCCGCCGGCUCAGGCGAUACCUCUGACCGCCUGAUGGCGCUCAGUGCGGAACUACGGUUCUUGAAAUCGAUCAUCGGAGUGGACUGA
rnacentral:rRNA from 1 species